GCUGGUGUAGCUCAGUCGACAGAGCAAUCGCCUUGUAAGCGAAAGGUUGCAGGUUCAACUCCUGUCGUCAGCCCCA
rnacentral:tRNA from 2 species